GAACGCUAGCGGCAGGCUUAACACAUGCAAGUCGAGGGGCAGCAUAGAGGUUAGCAAUAACUUCUGAUGGCGACCGGCGCAAGGGUGCGUAACGCGUGAGCAACUUGCCCUUAUCAGGGGGAUAACCAAUGGAAACGUUGACUAAUACCCCAUAGUAUAACAUCAAGGCAUCUUUUUGUUAUUAAAGAAUUUCGGAUAAGGAUAGGCUCGCGUGACAUUAGCUAGAUGGCGGGGUAACGGCCCACCAUGGCGACGAUGUCUAGGGGUUCUGAGAGGAAGGUCCCCCACACUGGAACUGAGACACGGUCCAGACUCCUACGGGAGGCAGCAGUGAGGAAUAUUGGUCAAUGGUCUGACGACUGAACCAGCCAUGCCGCGUGAAGGUCACGGCCCUAUGGGUCUUAAACUUCUUUUGUAAGGGAGCAAUAAGUCUCACGUGUGGGAUGAUGAGAGUACCUUACGAAUAAGCAUCGGCUAACUCCGUG
rnacentral:rRNA from 1 species